UACGUAGGCACCAAGCGUUGUCCGGAUUUAUUGGGCGUAAAGAGCUCGUAGGCGGUGUGUCACGUCGGCCGUGAAAACCUGCAGCUUAACUGUGGGCGUGCGGUCGAUACGGGCAUCACUGGAGUUCGGCAGGGGAGACUGGAAUUCCUGGUGUAGCGGUGAAAUGCGCAGAUAUCAGGAGGAACACCGGUGGCGAAGGCGGGUCUCUGGGCCGAUACUGACGCUGAGGAGCGAAAGCGUGGGGAGCAAACAGG
rnacentral:rRNA from 1 species